UACGUAGGGCGCAAGCGUUAUCCGGAAUUAUUGGGCGUAAAGAGCUCGUAGGCGGUUUGUCGCGUCUGCCGUGAAAGUCCGGGGCUCAACUCCGGAUCUGCGGUGGGUACGGGCAGACUAGAGUGCGGUAGGGGUAGACUGGAAUUCCUGGUGUAGCGGUGAAAUGCGCAGAUAUCAGGAGGAACACCGGUAGCGGAAGGCGGGUC
rnacentral:rRNA from 1 species